AACGAACGCUGGCGGCAGGCUUAACACAUGCAAGUCGAGCGCCCCGCAAGGGGAGCGGCAGACGGGUGAGUAACGCGUGGGAACCUACCCUUUUCUACGGAAUAACGCAUGGAAACGUGUGCUAAUACUGUAUACGCCCUGAGGGGGAAAGAUUUAUCGGAGAAGGAUGGGCCCGCGUUGGAUUAGCUAGUUGGUGGGGUAAAGGCCUACCAAGGCGACGAUCCAUAGCUGGUCUGAGAGGAUGAUCAGCCACAUUGGGACUGAGACACGGCCCAAACUCCUACGGGAGGCAGCAGUGGGGAAUAUUGGACAAUGGGCGCAAGCCUGAUCCAGCCAUGCCGCGUGAGUGAUGAAGGCCCUAGGGUUGUAAAGCUCUUUCACCGGAGAAGAUAAUGACGGUAUCCGGAGAAGAAGCCCCGGCUAACUUCGUGCCAGCCGCCGCGGUAAUAC
rnacentral:rRNA from 1 species